CGGGGUGGAGUAAUGUCUGGGAAAGCCGUCGAGUGAGGGGGGAUAACUGCUGGAAACGGUAGCUAAUACCGCAUAACGUCGCAAGACCAAAGAGGGGGACCUUCGGGCCUCUUGCCAUCGGAUGUGCCCAGAUGGGAUUAGCUAGUAGGUGGGGUAACGGCUCACCUAGGCGACGAUCCCUAGCUGGUCUGAGAGGAUGGCCAGCCACACUGGAACUGAGACACGGUCCAG
rnacentral:rRNA from 1 species